rnacentral:tRNA from 3 species
GGGCGGUUAGCUCAGUUGGCUAGAGCGCCACGUUGACAUCGUGGAGGUCACAGGUUCAAGUCCUGUACCGCCCACCA